rnacentral:ncRNA from 1 species
CCCUGAAUUUAAGCAUGUUGAUGAGAGGAGGAAAGGAGACUAACCAAGAUUUUCUUAAUAGCGGCGAGCGAAGAGAAA